rnacentral:tRNA from 1 species
CAGAUUAAAGCUUAUGUUAAGUAUUUCAUUUACAUUGAGAAGAUAUUAUUAAUUUAAUUAAUUUGA